rnacentral:rRNA from 1 species
UACGUAGGUGGCAAGCGUUGUCCGGAUUUACUGGGUGUAAAGGGCGUGUAGCCGGGAAGGCAAGUCAGAUGUGAAAUCCGGAGGCUCAACCUCCGAAUUGCAUUUGAAACUGUUUUUCUUGAGUACUGGAGAGGCAGACGGAAUUCCUUGUGUAGCGGUGAAAUGCGUAGAUAUAAGGAGGAACACCAGUGGCGGAGGCGGCUUACUGGACGGUAACUGACGCUGAGGCUCGAAAGCGUGGGGAGCAAACAGG